AUCCUGAAUGAUAAUCGUGUCUUAAUAAUAAUAAAAGAAAGAAAAUAAGAGACAAGCAUCACGAUUUUCCCAAUUGAAAUGUCUUUUGGUUUUGCCUUUGGUGGCACAGGGUCAAGGGUGUGGGGGCAUUUGUGUGGCAUUCACUAUUCUUUCAACCUGUCCUGAUUAUGGAACCCUUUAAGGUCCGUCCACUUGGAACCACGGUGCUCUGAGAGGACGCUGAACUCACAGCAGCCCACACACAAUUCCAGUGAUACUACUGCAAUGUUUUGUACACAGAAUCUUAGGUUUGUUGGGUAAAUGUAGCAUCAUAUUUUGUUUUAGCAAUUUGUGAACAGUCUUGCUUCUCUUCACACUUAUAAGCUCAUCAGGCUAAGGAUUAAAUCGUAUGCACCCAAAUACCUCUUAGUAUACAAACGUCUGCACUCAGUAGCGUUUCUGGCUGAGCAGGUGGAAGAAGGGCCACGUUCGCCAAUGUCAUGAGGGGCCAGCAUCUUUAACCUUCACGCCCACAUCACCAGCCUUGCCUUCUUCACAACAGAAAUGUUGUCCCACUUCCUUUCCAGGUCUCUCAGAUUCAUGGUACGAGUUGGAAAGAGACCUGAGAGAUUAUUUAGGCUAAACGUUUCAUUUUAUAAAUGACAAAAUUAGGGUUGAGCAAAAUGUGGUGAUUUUGUCUGUGCAAAGCCAAGAAAAAAAAUUAGAGCCUCUUAAAAGUCAUUUUUCCCCUGAAAUAAAGUAUCUUCAUUUCACUGUUAAAUAUAUGUCCUCAUGUAGUUGCUAUAAUCAACCACUUCUCAAGAAAACUCUAAAAGCUGUAUUUCCCAUAUGACACAUUUCAGAAUAUUACAUAAGAAGCUCUCACCAAGACACCAAGGUAAAAUAUAUAUGACAAGCCAAAGACAGGUGCCAUAAAAAAAUAAGAAAUCUUCAAAGGGGAAAGAAAUUCCAAAAGUGGCAACAUGACACCACUCAUUCUCUGCCUACUUUCGAGGUAAGACGAUGUUGAAGUUCUGAGGGGGCUCAGUAAAUAACACCUCUCUUCCCCCUCCAGGUCCUGCACAAAUUGAAAACAUAAAAGGUAGCAGAUGGACUCAAAUGCCACCUUCAUGACUGAGGUGCCAAGCUGGAGGGCAGGAGUUGCCCUCUGGUCCUGGUUUAGGCUGACCUUCUGAACGGGGCCUGAGGGCAGGACCACACGGGCAGGGAUCAGAAAGGAGCUGGAGGAGAGCUCAGAAGGGAGGGCGGGCCCAGCUCUCUUGGCGGCCAAGGAAAAAGCCUGGCAUGUUAGAGCUGGUGCAGGACUCUCCAGGGUGACCGAGCCACCCAGAAGAGGGAAAAGCCAUUCUCCAUAACAAAAAGUCAGGACCGGCUGAAAGCCCCUCCCAGCCCUCCACCCUCCUUCGGCGGGGCUUCUUUCUGAGCUUUGCCCCAUCCCUGCCCCGUGCUGGUGACUGGUGUUUGGCUCCCUCCUAGAGAAAGAGAUGGGCCUGGGUUGGUUGAGAGAGAAAGAGAGAGAAAGGGAGAGACAGAGAGAAGGCUUAGCUCUUGUCCAACAGGGCCACCUAGAGGGACUCUCAGGCUUGAGCGGGAGAAGCAGAGUUUUGAGGCAGAGCUGAUCAAGGGAACCUCAACAAACAACCCCAGCCAUGGAGGCGGCGGUGUCUUUGAAGACCCCAUGAGAGCAUCAAACAAGGGAGAGAGCCUGGAACAAAUCAUGGUAGUAAAAUGGCGGCAGAGAGCUAGUAAUGUGUCUGCAAUUGGUGGGUUCUUGGUCGCACUGACUUCAAGAAUGAAGCCGCGGACCCUCACGGCUACUCCUGACUGACCAUCACAUAAAAGAAUACAAAACAAUCUGAAAGUCAACCAAGGAAAUAGUAAUCAAGAAUAAUUCUGAAUAGACGUAAUUUCUACUUUAUGCAUGACUGUAAACCUUAACUUCACUGAACUAGACCAGGGAAUUGGCUUUCGCAUUGCUUGUUGGGCUUUUAAACCAGUGAAUGGAAAGAAUAAAAAGUUUUCUCCACACAACUUCUCGGAAGAGAUCUGCCCUGUGAUCUGCAAUGUCCUGACGUUCAAACUUCUAAGUCAUCUGUGGAGACCGCUCAACUGAUUCCAAGUGGAAGUACUAAGACUGUCAUUUCAGAAUGCUGCAGAAGCGACACCCUGCCACUUGUGCUUUUGUGAUCCUAGCCACCAGUAAGAAGCCCUGUGACCUUGCUGAGACCCUGAAGAGACCACAUAGAGAGGCCACUUGAAGGGCAAGGGGUCCUGACUCUACAUGGAGAGAGAAGCCCAGCCAUCCCUGUUUCCCAGCUGAGUCCUGACCAGAUAACUCACUACAAGACUGACCACAGGCAAGAACAGCAGAAGAGCUGCCCAGCUGAGCCCAUCCAAGAGUGCAGAAUUUCAAGCAAGUAAAAUGACUAAUGUUGUAAGCCACUAAAAUUCUAGGGUGGUUCUUACAUAGCAAUAUGUAACUGUGAUAAACUAAAUAAAUGAAUAAAAGGGAAUGAAGAAUUACUUCACAGAAUAAGUUUCAUGCAAAGACAUCUCAAUGUCUCUAAGAAACACUUCUAAGGAAGAGCAGAGUCAAGAAAAUAGCAACAGAACUAACAGGAAAUAGAGGAACUCAUACCACCAGCUUCCAUUUACAUUACAUCACAUUUUUCCUCUGUCAGUUUCUUUGGUUUUAAGAUAUUCUCCAAUGAAAAGAUAUUCCUACUCUUUUGUGAAAAAGAGAUUCUAGGUUUGACAUUAAAGUUAAGAAGUCCAACCAAGGAGGGGAUGUGAACACUAACACACAAAUGGAAACUGCUUAGAAUCCCAUGGCCAACCUAUCCCUGCUGUUCUAUUUCCUCUUACUUGCCAGCAGAGCAGAUCUACAGCUGUGGAUGAGGGCAUAGAGGCUGCUGUGCUCAGGGGAAACUGGAAUACUAUGGAGACUCCUGGCUUAACUGGGCACCAAAUGUUCAGUUCAGUGUGAAAAAUACCAUCCAAAGAUCAGAAUGGUUAAUUUUUAUACAGACAGUUAAUGACUUGUCAGUGAACUAGUAAAAACAAAAUAGACAGCUACUCAGUGCCUUUAACCCAGGCAUCCAAUCAGUUACACUAUACACAUAUGCACAUACACCCCCUAGAGACAGCUGAUACACACUGUUACAUAAUCCAGAAUAUUUUCUGGCUAGACUAUAUUUUGAAUCCUAAAUAUUAGCUAGCAACAUUAGCAUGCACAUCUCAGAAUGAGAAGACAGACUGCUACAUUUAUACUGGCUUGAUGGAAUCUUGGAUUGCUACUUCUAAUAAUUGCUUUUCUUCCUGAAAGAAAAAAAUCAUUAUGUAAGAACUAUGGCCUAAGCGAAGUAUCUGUCUUUUGUAAAAAACCAUAAAACAAAAUGCCAAGAAUAUUUUCUAACGUAUUAUACUGGACUAAUGCUUUGAAAUUUCUGAAUGAUGUUUAGUAGGUAAAAUUAUCAAUGUAUGUCUAGAAUAGCAUGCCUCUUAAACCUACCUCCAAUUAAUAAAUUUUAUGUGAUAGAUAUUUAAAGUAAAGAAGUGAAUUCAGGAACAAGCCAGCGGCUUGAAUGCUGCAUGCUUGGGAAGGGAAAAAUCAGCUCCCAGGGUUUU
rnacentral:lncRNA from 10 species